UCCGGCCUCCCUGCUACCACAAAAUGGUAGCUGCCGUGGGAGAUGUCCAGUUUCUUUUUCCUCAGCCUAAACCCCAAAUUCCAGCGAAACAGCUGAUGCCAGCCAGCUUGAAGACCCCAGCCACAGAAGAAGGGAAUCAGCAUGAGAAUACAGCUUCUUCAUCUCCCUGUCCCAUGAUUUCGCCCUGCACUCUUCAGCCAAUUAAUGAUCUCCACACUUCAGACCACUCCAAAACGCUUAAGAAAAAUAUAAUUAAGCAUUAAUCAGGCUACACUUUGACCCACUUCCUUGUAACCCGAAAGUCGGGCAGAGCUAGGUAGUACAUUUGUAUCCCCGUUGUCCCUGUAGAUAGGCUUUCUGAUGUUAAGAGUCAUAGGCUUUUUAAGAAUUGCUUAAGAUGUUUUUCAGACCCCAAAUUCCAGCGAAACAGCUGAUGCCAGCCAGCUUGAAGACCCCAGCCACAGAAGAAGGGAAUCAGCAUGAGAAUACAGCUUCUUCAUCUCCCUGUCCCAUGAUUUCGCCCUGCACUCUUCAGCCAAUUAAUGAUCUCCACACUUCAGACCACUCCAAAACGCUUAAGAACCUGAGCCUCAAAGUCCUCCUGGAGACGAAUUUGAGGUUUCCUCCUAUCUGUGUUUGGUGGCCCUAUGAUUAAACCUCUUUCUCUUCUGCAACCUGGUGCCCCAGUGUAUUAACUUGCCAUGGGCAUCAGACAACAAACCUAUAUACAGUAUCCCAAAUAUAGUGCUCCACUUUGAAACCUGAAGAAAUCCUGCAAUUGAGUUAGCCUUUUGAAAUAAAAAUUAUUUCAAAUUUAAAAA